rnacentral:rRNA from 1 species
UACGGAGGGUGCGAGCGUUUUUUUUGUCCGGAAUCACUGGGCGUAAAGGGCGCGUAGGCGGCUCAUGAAGGCUGUGUGAAAGUCCGGGGCUCAACCUCGGAUCGGCCGUGGCGACUCGUGGGCUGGAGCACUGUAGAGGCGGGUGGAAUUCCGGGUGUGGCGGUGGAAUGCGUAGAGAUCCGGGAAGAACACCGGUGGGCGAAGGCGGCCUGCUGGGCAGUAGCUGCGCUGAUGCGCGACAGCGUGGGGGAGCAAACAGGGAU